GAGUGAACGCUGGCGGUAGGCCUAACACAUGCAAGUCGAGCGGCGGCACAGUAAGAGCUUGCUCUUACGGGUGGCGAGUGGCGGACGGGUGAGGAAUACAUCGGAAUCUACUUUUUCGUGGGGGAUAACGUAGGGAAACUUACGCUAAUACCGCAUACGACCUACGGGUGAAAGCAGGGGAUCUUCGGACCUUGCGCGAUUGAAUGAGCCGAUGUCGGAUUAGCUAGUUGGCGGGGUAAAGGCCCACCAAGGCGACGAUCCGUAGCUGGUCUGAGAGGAUGAUCAGACACACUGGAACAGAGACACGGUCCAGACUCCUACGGGCGGCCACAGUGGGGAAUAUUGGACAAUGGGCGCAAGCCUGAUCCAGCCAUACCGCGUGGGUGAAGAAGGCCUUCGGGUUGUCAAGCCCUUUUGUUGGGAAAGAAAAGCAGCAGGUUAAUACCCCGCUGUUCUGACGGUACCCAAAGAAUAAGCACCGGCUAACUUCGUG
rnacentral:rRNA from 1 species